ensembl:lncRNA
GGGAGAAAAAAACGCAAGGGAGAGCUACAGAGUGGAGUAAAAAAGGGAAAAAGGGAGAGGGGGGCAUGGUAAAUGAGAACAUGAUACACAAGACACCUGAUAGGGAGAACUAUUCUGACACUCCAGGUUGAAGGACAAUUGCCAUUUGAUGCAUCUUGGGUUUUUUAUUUUUUGAUGGAAUCCAAGAGCUCCGAAUUUCUUGGGAAUUCUCCCACACUACUACACUCCUCCUGUCAGGGAUGCGGGUGGAGGAGGCAGGACUCAAGCGCAGACUUCUCAGAAAGCAAAAGACUUUAAUUGUCAAAAGGCAAAAUCAAAAGGCCAAGGGGCAAAAACACACACGAACCAGGGGAAAAACAGCAGGCAGGAAACUAUAAACAUCCACGACAAUAGACAAGGACAUGCGUGGCAAAAGACAAUGACGCGACAAGUGACAACAGACACACACGGCUUAAAUACAUUAGGGGAGGUGCAGGUGAUUGGACACAGGUGGAAACUAUUAGAUGAUCACAGGGGAUGACAUAACAAGGCAGGAAGUGAAGUUACCCGGGGACGCGAGUGGCAGAAAACUACAAAAUAUAACAGGAAGUGAACCACACCGUGACACCUCCGCUCUCUUCACUGGUACCGGUGGCUGCCCGCAUCCAGUUCUAAACAUUGGUGCUCACGUACCAUGCUGUGAAUGGAUCGGGUCCAGCUUACAUCCAGGACAUGGUCAAACCCUACAUCCCGACCCGCACUCUCCGCUCUGCAUCUGCUAAACUGCUCGUCUGCUGCUCACUGAGAGCAAAACACUCGACUAGAUCACGACUCUUUGCUGUCCUUGCUCCGAAAUGGUGGAACGAGCUCUCUGAUGACACCAGGACCGCAGAGAGCCUUCACAUCUUCCGCCGCAAACUAAAGACACACCUCUUCAGACUCUACCUCGACUAAAGACUAACAAAUUGUAGCACUUAAAUUGUACUUAAAACGCCACUCGUCUAUAGCAAAUUGUAAAUUGGCUUAUUUGAGGAAAUUGCACUUUCUUGUUUCUUGCUCUUCUGGGUUUGUAUCCUUAUGGUUGAAUGCACUUAUUGUAAGUCGCUUUGGAUAAAAGCGUCAGCUAAAUGACAUGUAAGGAAAACGGGCAAAGCGACAUGGAGAAAAAAAAGCAGCUCCACAUUGAGAAAGGACCCUUUGUGCAGCCAAACUUAUUAAUAAGAAAAACUUGAUUUGGGAUUAUUACCAAAAUCACAGGUGACUCACUGUAGACUAUUUCCCUACAAAUGGGGAAUACUAGGGAAUAAGACAAUUGGCAACGGCUAAACUGCUUGUUUUGAAACUGACAUAAUCCAACCAUUAAUCUGCACUCAUACGUUUUUACACACAUUUUAUAUUUUAUGCAGUAAGUAAGGGUGUUGUCUUUUUUAAUAGAACAAGGGCCAAAGACGGUAUAUUUUGUCCAUGUCAACACAUCAACAAUGCUUCAAUAAAAGAUAACAGCAAUUUAGUUCAUACAAACUCAUCGUUGUGAAAGUAAAGGCCAAGGUUACAGAAAAAAAAGGCCGAAGCUUGGCAAUGAAUGUUAACAAUCCUCUUCAGAGAGGUGAAGAUGUGUCGGUGAAACGGAUAGCAGUGUGUGUCUGUGUGCAGGAUGUGUGCGUGUGGAAGAGUAAUUCAGUAAACAGCGUCUGACCCUCGGCAACUGUCCCCAGCAGAGACAACUCUCCCCCCUGUCAGCCAGCGUAAUGCUCAGCCAGUGGGAAGAGCACAGCACCAGGCCGCCAUAACUUUGUGACCUGGAACUUUUUGAUUGACCUCAGGGUGGAGGGGGGGCGGAUUUGGGAUUAAAGUGGGGUUUUGUGUUCGUGUGGGGGGCUGAUCUGAGUGUUAAACUAAUCCUGCGGGAAUCUGUAUUUAAAGCCCGGGCGGAUACACGCUGAUGGCCGAGCCGGCGUAGACAGGGAGAUAGAAGAUCGCCGCUGUGUGGAAACAUUACGUCGGAGGUUAUGCAAGAGAUACAUGGAAGCACACGCUGUCCAACUCUCGCCAUAUUUCCCCCUUUAUCUCACACGCACCCACAUGGGCAGAGAGCAUGCAGGACCUGAAGCGCUGAGAGAGGUUAAUAUAUUAUGACCAAUCGUCAACCCAACCUACACACCAGCCUCAAAUAGACUUCUAGCGUGUGAAUGUUCCUGGAAUUCCAGCCAAAUGGACGCUGUAAAGCGUGGAAACGUAUAAUCACAUGGCUGCCUCUGCGUGAGAACACUGCAGAGACUUUUAACAGAUUUAGGACUUGUUAUGUGUAAAUCUUUUAAUUGGUUGAAGUCACUGAACAUGGGGACUGGCGGGUUUGAUUAACGUGUGAGAAGAACAAACAAGUUGGGCGGGCUUCCUAUCAGUGCUUUGCGAAAGAAUAUUAAUUAAAGAAAGUAGAGUAUUAUACUGCAUUCAAUUCUGAAACGUUCCAAAUCUUUAUUUUGGGCCUCACGUGGUAACGUUGCUCUCCUUGUCACUGAGAUGGUCCAUGAACUACAGGAUUGCCAUAAACAUUCAUCCCAGACAAUGAACCACAAUUCUUCUACUUUGGUAAUCGUGAACAACAUUUCUUUUUGAGGGGGUUAGGGGUUAGUUUUGACUCCCUGCAGACCUUUCCUUUAUCACCAUUAUCAGGUCAAACUUUCUCCCUUUUGUCAUGACUAGUUAGUAAACACUAGCAUGCAAACACACCAAGUUAAGAUGAUGAAUGUGUCCCAAGGGCACCAGAUUUCACCCUCCAAGUUCUUGAGUCCGACCAAUCUUUAGCCCUGCAAUUGCAAAACGUAACUGAAAAUAUUAUUUGUGAAAAUGUUAAUAUUUGUAACUUUUGGUCAAGGCCAGUCUCCACAGACCAGUGGAGAACAUUAGACCAUAAAAGAGGCCGCGGAGCUCGAUUUGCUACUACUUGCUUUGCACAUCGCUGGUUGAGCUACCUCGCUUUUCUCUCCCUGCAGGUGCCUAUAUUUGUGAGGGAGGGGGGGGGGGUUCUGACCCUCUUACACAAGUCCAGUACUCGUGUGCACAUACACACACAUACAAGCACGCGGAGAUUAGGUGUCGUCACACCGAAAUACCAUCGUCACGGCUGUUGGCAUGUGGACAGGGUUUCCUCGUAGGGGAAAGGGAACGUGAAGGGAAGUCCGGAGGGGCUGCGGCCGAAAGAGAAGUCCUCACUAAACACACACAUCGUGAACAAGUAUCUCCCGCGAGCUCAUCCCUGGAGGGGUGAAAUUAAAAAAAGGUGAUGACCAAGGUCGUGCUUUUCGAUCUUAUCUGUGGUUCUGUAAUCAAGGCACUCAUACAUCUCUCUGUGUCAAUAAAGCAGAUUGCUUUUGUCCUGCAGCGCUUUACAAUGCUUAAUGUCUGCUUUUGUAUUCAGCAGCAGUUCCUCUUUCUUCACUCUGUGUCUUUUAUGAAGGGGAGACAUGACGGGGUUUUUUAUGUUAUCAUGGCGGCCACUAACGCUAUUUCAGGGUCAUUUCACUCAAUUAGGAACCUUCGUAACCAAAUUUGACGAUUCGAUUCCAGAGCCUCGGCGAUGAAGAAAAACUCCACGCUGAACUUUCCACACCGCCAAGAUUUACUGCAUUCGCCUUUUGGUGCUACUGUGAUUCUGUCAUCGGCUGAGAAACUGAUCAAGAAAUAUCUCACGUCGCCCUCUGCUCACAGCGAAAUUAAUCUUCUCCACUCACUUGACUGCUUCUCUCAAACUUCAAUCUGCCUCAUCUUUUUCUCUUUGUUCAUUUAUAGUUACCUUUACCCUCCUUCUGUAGCUGGAUUGAAAUAGUCCUUUUUACAGACACAGCAGUUGCUUUUCACCCACUGCAAAUCAAUUGAAUAGAAGUAUGAAACAAGCGAGGCCCAAAAAGCUCUCAUUGCUUCAGUCACCGACAUAAAAUGCCACCUCAGUCACGUCGCAGGUAAAUAUACCCGUCUGCAGGUGUCACAGGAGUAGCUGAUCAGCCCUGAUUGGCUGGCUCUGCAGAAAGUCAGUGCUCAUUGAGAUUCAUCCCUUCUUUGGCCAAACGUUACACAAUCUAUCUGAUCAUAAAACUCGUUAUUGCAACUAUUUAAUUUAGAUCAGCAAUGGCCCUGUUUGCGACGUAAUCCAGCACACACACAGAUAUUUGUAACAUUCACUGGCUUCACCCUCUUAAAUGUGAUAAGUUGGUGCUAUUCUUAGUUUUAUAAAUAUAUAUAAAAUAAUUGUUUUUGUUGACGGAGUAUUCACAAGCAAAUUGAAGAUGAUGUUAGGGUUCGGAAAGCCCUCAAGGGAGGCCCCACUCCUUUGUUCUCGUCCUGGCCCGGAAACGAAGAAUCAAAAGUGUCAGCUUGCUUAAAUUCAAAAAUCAAAAAGUAUUUAAUUACUAAACAACGUUAUAAGGAAUACAAUUACAAAGUGAAAUACAAAACGAACAGUCAAAUAUUUUGCGAAAUAGAGAAUUCUCUGUGUACAGUGUUUAUAUGAUUUACAUGACUAUAGCUUGUGUUUGGUUCAAAUUGCAUUCAUUUCAUCUAUCAUGUUAAUGUAAUAACUAAGAUCUAAUACAAACUAGAAUUCUAACACUAAACAUUAUUACACAUAUUAUAAUUUCCACCACUAGGGGUGCACUUCUUGCUUGAAUCCCUAACAAUGACACAUAUAUUAUAAUUUCUAACUUUCACACAAUGCAUUGACCUUUAAAUGGCUAAGAUCCAUUUUACGAAUUGCAUACUGAUGGGCCUAUUCUUACGUGGUAUGAUAGAACAGUGAUGUUUUGAGUUUCACUGCGGUGCCGUCGGCAUAAAUUGCACAGGAUAUUAAAAAAAAUAAUGGUUGACAUGAGAAAUGCGUGAACUGUGUUUGACACUGAGGGAGUGUGAGGACGCCGUGGUGUGACGGGGGUCCUGUGCACUCUGUCUUGUUUUGCCAUGUUCUCUCUGACCUGCUAUAAAAACAGAACGGUUGUCGGAGGCGGGACGGGCGGAGGGGCUUUGGGAUUGGUUGCAGCUGUCGGCCCGACUCCUGGAGGACGGCGAGAGUCCGUCUCAUCUCUUAAUUACUGUCGUCCCUGAGACCCAGCCGGCUAAUAACUGCCGCGCUACUGCAGCGAGCUGGAUCCUUCGCUGAGCGCGAGCAGAUGGAGGCGCAGAGAGGAACCUUCAGCUCCACAGCCAGGCAGAUCAGAUAGGACUCAACAGGGCCUUCCUUGACCAUCUGGCCUAAUGUGCGAAGCACGACUCGCACACGGACCUACGCGCAAACAGGCAUUCCUUUUUUCUAUCAUAACAUUGGCCGCACUGCAUCUUGUUCCCAGCUGAUUUGAAUGAACAUUUGUCAUCAUCACCUCUGAAAGCCUCAAUAAGAGACGCUCCUGUUGCACGGCAGGGUGGUGAGAGAAAGUACGGCACACAUGCUGCUGCACGCUCAACCGAACAAGGGACGGUAUUAGUGUUAGGCCUAUUACUGCUCUGUGCCGUCCAUGGCUGCCCAGACAAAGUGGCAUCCACGCUGUAAAUAGCGGUGCAUCACUGUAAAUACACGCAGCUUUGACCUGUUCGGUGUGCGUAACUGCUUUCUGGGAGCAUAUGGGCUGACGAGGAUCAAUGGCAGAUAUGGGCCAGUAUUAGCAGUGACACUAACGCGGCUAAUCGCCCUAACUUUCUAAGAUGUUCUUCUCCCUGCUGUGGACACUCUCUCACACACACACACACACAGGUACACGCAUACACAAGCUUACCUCAAUCCCCCAUAUCUGGGCCCCUAUGGAUCCAAGGGCACAGGUUGAUUCUAUAUUCAACCAGUGACCCUUUUCCCUUAGUGCCGUCGGCAAGUGAGGAAGAAAUGCUGCACGAGCUGUGUGAAAUACUGCAAGCGUGCUGUAAGGCUCCUCUGAAGGGUUUCCUCUUUGUAUUCAUCUCAGUCUCAUAUGCUGAAUGUUAACGCGACGUGACUCACUGAAGUGAAAAGCAAUCAGAAAAUGUGUAACGGAAAAAAUGAAGUUGGUUGAUGAAAAUACAAAGCGCAUGUGAGAUGUGCCCAAUACAGGAACAUUCAUUCCAUCUUCAUAUUUAAUUGGGAUGUUUUAAGAUUGGACCAUUAUGCGUUUCCCAGGAUCUCGGUAUGAGAUACACACAACGUGAUGCUGUUUGCUGGGUGACAGUCAAACCCCAAAGCUUGUAAAAUAGGGACCCAAGAGGCUACGAGUGAAAUAAAACAUCUACAAAUUUAGCCAACAAGGCUAAACUAGUUAAUGAUUGAUGUGGAGGGAUUAUGUUAGAAGCUGUUAAAAGGAGUAAUUUUUCUGUUUAGCCUAAAGCUAAUAAUUAGACUAACAUGACAAACAAUAUUUUAGGCAUUAACUCUGAAUGACGAUGCCAGUACCAGCACCCUAAAUACCAACAGAGUCAUUCCUGCCAAGUUGACCAAAUCUACAGUGACAAAGAUCCUUUUAUGUUGAUAAGAAAAAAGUAAAAAGCAGACAGGUGGAAACCAAUGUUGAUGCUCAUCAUAUUGACGAUGACGAUGAUCCAGCUCAUCUUGAGCCAAAAAGAGUCAAACACACAGCAAAGGUUAACCUGCCUUUUUAUACUUUGGUGGUGGGAAAGAAAGACAAAGCUUGACAGAGAACUCACAUCAUUGUAACUCGUUUUUAGCCCACCUCGGCCCACCUCACGGGCCCAAACGAUGCCCCCUAAAAACAACAGCAGCUCAGAGUUAAUGCAGAUUAACCUUUGUGAGAUCACACUCUGGCUGUGCGUCUCUCUCUCUCUCUCUCUCUCUGUGUGUCCGUGGGUCCGUGGCGUCCUUCACAGACUUUCCAUCUCUCUCAUGAAUGUUUGAUGGUGCUGCCAGCUGCUCUCUAAGUCUGAGGGCGGCACGUGUUCCUGCUCACAAACACAGGCCCCGCAUUGUUUUUGCCCCGGGAGGACUUCUGCAAAACAGCAGCACUCAUGUGUUUGUAUCACGGUUAAGAAAAAGAAGCAAAAAAAAAAGGGGUUUGCCUACGAGUAGCAUGAGGUGUGCAACGGCUGUGCUAUUUUUAGAUGCAUAUAUAGUCAUUGUGCAGAAAACAACAGUGUCUCAGUCAUUUAAAAAUGAACAAAUGAUGUGUGGGCAACUUUCCCUCCUACACAAAUCACUGUUUCAGACUGUUUUUGUGCACAGACAUUACAUUUUCUACAGCAAAUCUCUUCAAUUGUUUGACUUUUUCCUUAAAUUUGCAUCCUUGACCAUAAAUUUCACGGCAACUAUUCGCCAAUGCAGAUCAGCAGAGGUGGCGAUGUUGUUGACAGGCGCACGCGGGCAUUUCUAACUUUUGUGUGGAAGCAUCAAUCACAACUUUGCUCUCACUCUAGUUUUCCCAACCUUGCACAGACCCAUACACAUACACACACUCUCUGCAUGAGCUUCCACCUAUCCUGACACCCUCAGGAUUCUUUUCAAGAGCCAUAUGUCUCCUUUCCGUUGUCACAGGAGCAUCGAGCACUUCUCUGUCCUAUCAUGCAAAUGAAGCAGGGAUUUGGACUGGCGUCCUGCAGACAGACCAUUGACACGAUAGACACUCCAUGGUCUGGUUAUUUACACAUUCAUGAUUGACUUUUAAAUAAAAAUAUAUAGUUUAAUUUAGUUUCUUAACGAUAUGGCGUUAUCACAUUUUUAUCCAUAAAUGUAAUGUUGUGAUUAUAUAUCAACUGGAAACAAUUAACAAAAUAGUCAUGUGGUUAUUUAUACAUGAACUGAUGAGGAGUGGACCAAGAGUAGAACCCUGUGGUAUUCCAGUUUCUUUUCUAGCAAUUAGAAAGAGAAUGUUUUGCAGGUGGAAAAUGUGAGGGAAACUAAACAGACCUUUUGUUGCCUGAACAGACUAAUUAUUGCAGUUUGGUGCCACAUUUUUAUUUUGCUAGGCAACCAAUGAAUGAGUUUAAUAAACAAUUGUUAGUUGGAUAAACUGACCACACAUUAAGUUAGUAGAUAGUAACCACACUAAUUUGCCUGCAAGCCUGCUUUUUGGUUAAGUUCAGACAGCACAGGACAGGCUACUUAAACUUCAUUGUCCACUUCCCCUUCUUUUCCCUCCACCCACACUGUCAGACAGAACUGGGUCAUGGUGAACCUGAGGCCAGCGGCUCCCAUUACUUCAGCUCAAAAGUCGGAACCCCAGGGCCUUGAAUGGGAUUCAAACAUCACACUUUGGCUCAGACAUUAAGGGUCACCAUCAGCACCAUAACUAGCCAUCUUUCCUCCGAGCACUCAUCAUAAAUGAGGAGAUUUGGGCCUACUCCCCCAGGGGGAACUAUGAAACAUGUGCAGGUUUGUCACCUGUCAAAUUUGUGUUCAUUUCAUGCACUGUCACCGUAAAUAAAACUUUUAACACAACUCUGGGAGUUGGGGUUGAAUGCUACGGUUCUUUCCAUCACCGAAUACCUUAAUGGGACAGGUUAGGUUUUGGUUCGUAUCCAGACUGUAUGCUCGGUGCACACUACUAUGUACAAUAAGUAUAUGUAAGAAUGGGGGAUGUUUGUGUUGCAGAACGUAAUACAUUGUGCGACCGUGUGGGGAAACUUUCAAUCACUCCCCUAACAUGCAGGGCAGUCUAGUGCACAGGAGACGCAUGAGCACGUUCAUAAGAGGCUUACAGUGAGGACGGCUCUCUGCAAACUGGAGCUCCAGUAUUGCUUCGUAUAAGAUGAUUGGCCCAUUGCCCAACCAGUUAAGUAAGGCAUCACUGCGACUUAGCAAGUAAACAAACAACUGGACAUUCUGGAUCUAUUGUCCGAACUCCACGCGGAUGACCUCCUCGCUGUCCUUGCCUUGUCUAUCCGCAGGCUCAGAUGCUGGUGCUCAGCACCCUGCGGACGCUCAUACUAGGAGACAUCAGAUUUUGCUUUACUUGUUUUCAAGUAUCUACAGUUCUAAAUGAAUUACAUCUUUAUCUCCAUGGACAAUAGAGACAUAAUUCAUACAACCCUUCAAUAUCUGAAAAGACAUGCUGAACAAUGUUUUUUGUUUUCAACUUUGGGAAAAACUAUUCAGCAGUCGUUCUGAUCUCCCGUAGUUUAUAAUGUGCCUAUAAGGUUUAUUUUAAGAGGUAUCUUCAGAUUAUACCUAAAAACACUCACAAAUUGUAGCACUUAAAUUGUACUUGUAAUGGCUCUAUAUACAGCAAGUUGUAAAUCGGCUUAUUUAAUGAACAUACACUUUCUUGUUUCUUAGUUUGUAUCUUAUUGUAAGUCGCUUUGGAUAAAAGCGGCAGCUAAAUGACAUGUAAUGUAAUGUAUAGGUUACCAUCAGUUACCGGUCUGAAGGGAUUUUCCUAAUAUUCCUCAGGUUCGGGUGAGGACAGAGGAUACCCAGAUAACUGAUAUGUGUCCACAACAUUCUCCUCUGUGUAUGAGGGGGCCAUUGUUACUGUCUGAGUGCUGACUGGAAUAUGAGUUGAGGGACCAACCACUUUUUUAUUUAAAAGAUAAUAAGAAGCAAAACCAUUAGUGUGGUUGUUUGUCCGUUGGUUUGUGUACUUCCAUUAUGAAGCCUUAAGUUUGGCAAUUUUGUCAUCGCCACCAUGGAACACAACCUUUGCCAUCUUGUCAUUUUUGCAGGCGAAAGUUACCAAAUUUUGGAAUGCAGAGGAGGGACGUAGAGAAACCCAAUGCAACUCUGGCCUGUCAAUCACAGUAAGUUUGCUGCUAAAGUCUGUUUGAGUGAUUGAUUGGAUCCUUAUUCACCUCGUCCUGAGCUUUUACUGUAAUAUAUAGAAAUAUCUACCACAAAUUCUUCAUGCACAGAAGGAGACCAAACAAGGACACGGGAAGUUGAAGCGGUGGGCGGGAGGAUGGGGAGCAAAGGGCCAGACUGGAGGGCCGGGUGCACACAUACACACUCACACGCAGGAUGUGUGUCUCCAGGCACUGCAGGGCUGAAGUUAAAGAGAGAGCUUGUUUUCCUCCCUUCAAUUGAAACACAGUAGUGCUCCCUGCAGGCUGCAGCCUCACCUUGGAGUGGGGGCAAAGAAUAGAAAAGCCCACACCAUCCUCAGAGAGGCCUUGAGGGCAAGUUUCCACCACGAACCGUAACUGCUUCAAAGCCAGGCGUCACGAAGGGCAUCUGACGCAGCGUCCGGUGCUGCAGGACGGGUCGGGGAACAGCUCCAUGGUGUGACGACGUCCAAAGGUUGUGAUGAGUGGAUACAUCAGUGACAGGGCUGAGCUCGGGUUCGCCUUAACUUUGCCGGAACUACAUGUGAUGUGAUGCUGCUGAUUGAAAGAGGGUGGGGGGGUGGGGGGGGGGGUUCUGCCUGCCCUUUGUGCGUGUUGUAUGACUGUCAGGCAGAAAUUCGCCCCGGGGAUUAGACUCAUCCGAAUGCUAUUCACGGUUUAAUGGGGCUGAUAAUGAAACCUACAAGAGCGCGAGAGGCUCAUUUUUUCAAAUCAAAAGGGACUUGGGCAGAAUAUAUUCGUGCUUCAUGGUCAUGUUGUGCGUCACUAGAUUACAUUUGGACACAGUGCUAAUGGGGACUUGGGGGAGCGCCACAGCAGCACUUUGUGUAGCUGUCAGGUUAAUAGCAACCCUUUGUAUGUUAAAGUGUGCGCACCUGUCCCUUGAUGAAAGUGUGUAUGUCUGCAGGCUGCACAAGACCCCAUUGAGCCCAGUGCGUUUGGGAGGGCGAGGUGACUCAUCCUGCCCACUGGCUCCGCUUCUCAAAAUACUCCUCUUUCCCAUCCUCACCUUUUGUCCUUUCAUUUCAUCAGCUCAUAUGACUUUAACAAGGGACCGAUCCAUGCCUGCUCACCAAAACGUUACGUCAAAUGUCACUUAUUUAUAUUUUAACCUCUGAUUGAGGUUUUUUUAUGAAGCUGAAUUUUGUCAUAUUCAUUAUGAAAUGGGGAACACAUGAUUUAAUUCAAUUCAAUUCAAUUCAUUUUAUUUUGUAUAGCCCAAAAUCGCAAAUUACAAAUUUGCCUCAGAGGGCUUUACAGUCUGUACACAUACGACAUCCUCUGUCCCGAACCCACCAUCGGCACAGGAAAAACUCCCCAAAAAAUAAAAAAAAACCUUCCAAGAGGGGAAAAAAGGGAAGAAACCUUAGCGAGAACGUCAGAGGAGGGAUCCCACUCCCGGGAUGGACAAACUACAAUGGAUGCCAUGUGUACAGAAUGAACAAUGUAUAAUACAUGCAAUUCCUAUGACAGAAAUUAUUCAAGUAAUUGUGAGUAGUAAGCCAGGCGCACAGAAGGACUACUGCAGGGGCAACCACCAUCAGAUAGAACCACCAUCACAUAGAACCACAAUCAGAUAGAACCACCAUCUACAGAAGCCUGUGGAGAGGGAGACAAAGACUUUAGGAGGGGGUAAUGUUGGUUUACGAGUACAGUAAUAUGAUUAAUAUCUAAAAUAAUAAUGAUGAUGACGAUGGCAGCAGCAGGCGUCAGCAGGGCCACGGCAGGUGUCAGGACCAGGGUCCAGAAGGAACCACGAUCUACGUAGACCUGCUAGGUGAGAAAGCACACAAAACUCCCGGAAAGAAGCUGAAUUGGUCAUGUGCAUUAAUAAAACGUGAAUUAUUGUAGAACGAGAAAGUGAGAGAGGAGCUCGGUGUGUCCUAAGAAGUCCCCCGGCAGUCGAAGCCUAUAGCAGCUUAACUAAGGGCUGGUCCGGGCCAACCUGAGCCAGCCCUAACUAUACGCAGAAUCAAAGAGGAAAGUUUUAAGUUUUACUUUAAAAGAGCGGACCGAAUCUGCCCCCCUGAAAGUGGAAGCUGGUUCCACAAAAUAGGAGCUUGAUAACUGAAGGCUCUGGCCCCCAGCCUACUUUUUAAAACCAUAGGAACAACAAGUAACCCAGCAUCUAUGGAGCGCAGCUGCCUUGUCGGGCAAUAAGGUGUUACAAGCUCUUUAAAAUACGACGGUGCCUCACCAGCAAGUGCCUUGUAGGUGAGGAAGUUUUAAGUACCUUAAAAUCUAUUCUUGAUUUAACAGGGAGCCAGUGCAGAGAAGUUAAUACAGGAGUGAUAUGAUCCCUUUUCUUAGUUCUUGUUAAUACACGUGCUGCAGCAUUCUGAAUCAACUGGAGAGGCUUAAGAGAUUUACAAGAGCAGCCUGAUAACAAAGAAUUACAGUAGUCCAGUCUGGAAGUGACAAACGCAUGAACUAAUGAUUCUGCAUCACUUUGAGACAGGGAGUUCCUGAUUUUUGAUAUGUUGAUGGUGCUGCUGGGUACCAGAGCAAUUCCAUUCAUAAAAACUGUAUCACGUGACAGCUGGCUUCGAAGGCGCUCUGGGCCUAUCAAGAUAACUUCUUUUUUUUUGAGUUUAGCAUCAGGAAGUUGGCGGUCAUCCAAGUUUUGAUGUCUCCAAGACAUUCUUGAAGUCAACUAGCUGGUGGGUCUCUUCUGGUUUGAUCGACAGAAACAGUUGAGUAUCGUCUGCAUAACAAUGGAAGUUUAUGCGGUGUUUCCUGAUAAGAUCGCCCAAAGGAAACAUAUAGAGGGUAAAUAAAUUCGCUCCAAGUACAGAACCUUGUGGGACUUCGUGACCAACAUUGGUGGUCUUUGAGGAUUCACCGUUUACAAGCACAAACUGGGAUCGAUCCGAUAAGUAGGAUUUAAACCAGCUGAGUGCAGUUCCUUUGAUACCAAUUAAAUGUUCUAGUCUCUGCAACAGGAUAACAGGAGUCCUUGGUCCGAAGCAAGUAGAAGAUCACUCAUAAUUUUCACCAGUGCUGUACAAUGAUGCACUCGAAAUCCUGACUGGAAAUCCUCGAACAAAGCAUUGUUUUGUAGAAAGUCACAUAAUUGAUUUGUGACAGAUUUCUCAAGGAUCUUAGAGAGGAAGGGAAGAUUAGAGAUAGGUCUGUGAUUUAGUGUUAUUGUGGUUACAUAAACUAAAUAUGACGCUGUUAUAAUGAUGCCAGACAUGUGUGUGCUUUGCUUGGGUAAGCAGGAGGCUAUUAGUGAAGACCAUAGUUUUGAAUUUUGAAAUUAUUAAAACAUGUAAUUGAAUUAAAGUACAGGAUGAGGAGCUUAACCUGGCUGGAUUGGCCAUUGGGCUGGUUUUGUCACACAGACCUGGCAACCCUGCACGAGGUCCACACCGAGGAGAGAUGGAGACAUCAAUAUAGAAGUAAGACAUUUUAUUUAAAGCAGAGAUACAUCUUUGAGGAACAUGUGAUUAUUCUUGAAACUUAUACCACACUUGUUAGUAGACCAUCUGUGCGGCAGUGAAAGUGUGCUCGCUUACGUCGCCAACUGCCACAGGCCCCAUUGUGGUCAGUUUUGAGAUCGUCACAACUGCCGUCGUUGCCCCCAGCGCCAAGUUGGCCUAUGUAGUCUUCAACAGUGCCAUUGCCUCCUUCAUGCAUCUUUUUUACAACAUUAAGGUGGUGAGCUGAUGCCAGUUGAUUGGUUUCCAAAAAAUGUGGUUAAUUAAUUAUGUGAUAUUCAACUUCUCUAAACAGAACCUGCUAUGACAAUUCCCCAUUCAAAGACUUGAUGAAAGGCAUUUGAACGAAGCCGGUUACGAUCUAAAUUACAUAAAUGCAACAGAGUUUUAAGAUCAGAUAUAUUGUCAAAUGUUUGUCAAAAGAAGGGCUGGAUGUCAACUAGCACUGACUUUGUGAAGAGCCAGCCAAUCAGGGCUGAUCAGCUACUCCUGUGACACCUGCAGAUGGGUAUAUUUACCUGCGACGUGACUCAGGUUGCAUUUUCUGUUGGUGACCGAAGUAAU